UGGGUUUGACAUGCACAGGACGACGGCAGAGAUGUCGUUUCCCUUGUGGCCUGUGUGCAGGUGGUGCAUGGCUGUCGUCAGCUCGUGUCGUGAGAUGUUGGGUUAAGUCCCGCAACGAGCGCAACCCUUAUUUCAUGUUGCCAGCGCGUAAUGGCGGGGACUCGUGAGAGACUGCCGGGGUCAACUCGGAGGAAGGUGGGGAUGACGUCAAGUCAUCAUGCCCCUUAUGUCCAGGGCUUCACACAUGCUACAAUGGCCGGUACAAAGGGCUGCGAUGCCGUGAGGCUUAGCGAAUCCUUUAAAGCCGGUCUCAGUUCGGAUCGGGGUCUGCAACUCGACCCCGUGAAGUCGGAGUCGCUAGUAAUCGCAGAUCAGCAACGCUGCGGUGAAUACGUUCCCG
rnacentral:rRNA from 1 species